AGCGGGGUAGGGGAGCCUGGAGUUCCCGCUGGAUUUCUGACCCAGAGAUCGGUGGUUCAAAUCCACCCCCCGCUA
rnacentral:tRNA from 1 species